rnacentral:lncRNA from 13 species
GAAAAACUGCUUAUUUGUGGGAGCUGCUGGAGAAGCUUACAUCUGAAGGAGCAACUGACAAAUUAUUGGGAUAAACGUAAUAGAAGCAAUUUCUUGGAAAGAAACUUCUGAAUACCAACUCUUUAGUACUAUGUCAACUUCCCCAAAGACACAAAUCCUGGAGGUGCUUAUUAAAACCACAGACUCGUAGGCCCUCCCUAAAGACCUUCUAAAUCACCAUUUCCAGGGAAGAGCUCUGAAACUUGAGAAUUUUUAGGCACUUCAGGUGAUUCUUAACAGAGAAGCAGGAUAAUGAUACAUUCUUUCAGUGAAGAGGCUCAGGCUCCUUUUCCAAUCACAGCAGCUGCUGGGGGUAGGAGGCUACCUUUCUUGCUCCUGCUGUCUACAGCCAGGCAAAAAGCCUCCACUUCUCCCUGCUGCUAUUGGUCACGUGGACCAGGAAAUGCUUGGAGGGGCUGGGAACGAGCUGUUGAUUGAGAGUGAGAGAGCCAAUGAGAAACCAGAGUAGUCGCUCACCCAGAGAGCUUUUUUUGGUGGGGGAUGGGGUUGGACUUAGCCUUCACUGUCUAUAAUACGGCAAAGGGUAGUGCAAGGUGCUUGCACUCAGCAGAGCCUGUGGCUGGUGGAAGGGAGCGCUGUCUUGUGGCAUCUCCUAUUGUCACUCUUGGCCUACGGAAGACAGCUGAUGCUGAGUUUGAAUGAUUCACUCUCCUCAAAUGCAUUUCUUUACUGCCUCAGUGAAGGAUGUGUCCUCUGAGCCCACCCAGAAAAACUGCUGUGCCUGAAAAAGUUGGAAGUAAUGUGAGAUGGGUGGUACCAGUGCUGGAACUGGUGUGACAGCUGUGGCUGGAGUACAUGUGGGCUGAGAGGACCCAGGCAGGCCACCAGAGGUGUGACCUACAGUGCAGAAAGGGGUCUCCACUGGACAGGCCCCAUCAGAACCAGAUGGGGAGGGUCAUUCCUGCAGGUCAGCCUUCUGAGGCUAGAGAGCAAGGUACAGAAGAUGGAGAGGAGGCCUGGUGGUGCAAACAGAAGACAUACCUACCCAUGUCAAAAGCAAAAUCUCUGAUUACUUUCUUAGGAUUCAAGUGUUUCAUGGCUUGA